rnacentral:rRNA from 1 species
GUGGGGAAUCUUAGACAAUGGGGGAAACCCUGAUCUAGCCAUGCCGCGUGAUCGAUGAAGGCCUUAGGGUUGUAAAGAUCUUUCAGUUGGGAAGAUAAUGACGGUACCAACAGAAGAAGCCCCGGCUAACUCCGUGCCAGCAGCCGCGGUAAUACGGAGGGGGCUAGCGUUAUUCGGAAUUACUGGGCGUAAAGCGCACGUAGGCGGACUGGAAAGUCAGAGGUGAAAGCCCAGGGCUCAACCCUGGAACUGCCUUUGAAACUCCCAGUCUUGAGGUCGAGAGAGGUGAGUGGAAUUCCGAGUGUAGAGGUGAAAUUCGUAGAUAUUCGGAGGAACACCAGUGGCGAAGGCGGCUCACUGGCUCGAUACUGACGCUGAGGUGCGAAAGCGUGGGGAGCAAACAGGAUUAGAAACCCUGGUAGUCC